GACGAACGCUGGCGGCGUGCCUAAUACAUGCAAGUAGAACGCUGAAGCGAGGAGCUUGCUCUUCUUGGAUGAGUUGCGAACGGGUGAGUAACGCGUAGGUAACCUGCCUUGUAGCGGGGGAUAACUAUUGGAAACGAUAGCUAAUACCGCAUAACAAUGGAUGACACAUGUCAUUUAUUUGAAAGGGGCAAUUGCUCCACUACAAGAUGGACCUGCGUUGUAUUAGCUAGUAGGUGAGGUAAUGGCUCACCUAGGCGACGAUACAUAGCCGACCUGAGAGGGUGGUCGGCCACACUGGGACUGAGACACGGCCCAGACUCCUAGAGGAGGCAGCAGUAGGGAAUCUUCGGCAAUGGGGGCAACACUGACCGAGCAACGCCGCGUGAGUGAAGAAGGUUGUCGGAUCGUAAAGUUCUGUUGUAAGUCAAGAACGGGUGUGAGAGUGGAAAGUUCACACUGUGACGGUAGCUUACCAGAAAGGGACGGCCAACUACGUG
rnacentral:rRNA from 1 species